GCUGCUGGCUGCUGACAGAAGCUGCCCAGGAGAGCUGUGGUGUGAGUAACCUAUGUGCAAAUAAGUUUAUCACCAAACUUGGCUGCAGCUUCUUUAUGCUGUGGGGGCGUGAAGGCAGAGUCCAACAAUAUUUUAUCAUGGGCAAACCAACAGUGGAAAGCAGGAUCAGAAGACUCCUCUCUCCAGGUAAAUAUUGCUUUAAUGCUAUAGUGUGUUAAUUACAUUGUAAAAAUGACAUUUAAUGCUCCACUUGUGUCUUUUAAGUCAUAUGUGUUGAAUUUAUCUAUGUAUGUCUUUCCUCUUCUCAGUACUUCAGACAAGGGGAAGGUACAAGCAGAUUGUUUGAUUUCUGUUCUGUUUCUCAGGCCAUUAACAAAACUGACAGGCAUGCCAUAAUGGACAAUACAUGAAGGAGGAAAACCAAAGCUUUAUUUCCAGUGAUGUGCUGCAUUUAGAACAACUAUCCAAUGGCACACUGCAGAUGAAGCAAUGCUCAGGUUCUAGCCCAAGGCCAAAAAGAUCUUGCCAGAGCACCACUGCAGUCCUGGAAGAAAAGGUUUCUGCAUUCUCUGAAGCAUGAGUGAUGAAAAUGUGCAGACUGCCAACAGACAUGCAGGUUGGAUUUUCACAUGUGCUCAGCACUGCUCCAACUACUUCUUCUAUUAAAAAUUAUGGAAAACCAUCUUGAAAACACUGCAGUAAAAAUCAUGUGAAUUCUGA